GAUGAACGCUGGCGGCGUGCCUAAUACAUGCAAGUAGAACGCUGAAGGAGGAGCUUGCUCUUCUGGAUGAGUUGCGAACGGGUGAGUAACGCGUACGUAACCUGCCUGGUAGCGGGGGAUAACUAUUGGAAACGAUAGCUAAUACCGCAUGACAACAGGUAUUGCAUGAUAACUGUUUAAAAGGGGCAACUGCUCCACUACCAGAUGGACCUGCGUUGUAUUAGCUAGUUGGUGAGGUAACGGCUCACCAAGGCGACGAUACAUAGCCGACCUGAGAGGGGGAACGGCCAAACUGGGAAUGGGGCCCGGCCCAGAACUCUACGGGAGGCAGCAGUAGGGAAUCUUCGGCAAUGGACGGAAGUCUGACCGAGCACCGCCGCGUGAGUGAAGAAGGUUUUCGGAUCGUAAAGCUGUGUUGUAAGAGAAGAACGAGUGUGAGAGUGAAAAGCUCACACUGUGACGGUAUCUGAACAGAAAGCGACGGCUAACUACGUG
rnacentral:rRNA from 1 species